CAGGGAGGAGAUAUGGGGACAACAGGACACAGUAAUGUUGGAGUGCGAAAAUCCGAUUUCGGGGAGGGCAAAUCUGCAGAAAGACAGUGACAGCAGGUAUUGCAGGCAAGGCUCAUAAAAGGGGGGGUCAAGGCAUUCCUGCGGAAGAAACAAAGGGAGACCAACACCAGGCUGUAAUUAACCAGUAACCCAUCGAGUCCAUGAGGAAGGCCAUAAUUCAAGGGAAGGAAUUUAGUUGGAGCCACACUGUCCUUGGGCACAAUGAUGUCUCACCCAGGGCCCUGCAGCUUCACGCGCAGGACUUAGGUCUCUGCUGCAGCCACUGGCAGAGGAGCUGUGCUCAGCCAUGAUAACGUCAGGGGCAGCGCUGGUGGAUCCUGACCGCCCCAGUGGCCUGCUCUGCUGUCCAGCUCACCCCUUCGCCCUGGAGAGGAAGUGGAAAACCUGGCUCUUCCUGGGGAUCCUAAAACCAGCAGUGACCACCUGGUGCGGGACCGGCCCCA
rnacentral:lncRNA from 1 species